GGUACGGUACACUAUAAGACUGGGAUAACUUCGGGAAACCGGAGCUAAUACCGGAUAAUAUUUCGAACCGCAUGGUUCGAUAGUGAAAGAUGGUUUUGCUAUCACUUAUAGAUGGACCCGCGCCGUAUUAGCUAGUUGGUAAGGUAACGGCUUACCAAGGCGACGAUACGUAGCCGACCUGAGAGGGUGAUCGGCCACACUGGAACUGAGACACGGUCCAGACUCCUACGGGAGGCAGCAGUC
rnacentral:rRNA from 1 species